rnacentral:rRNA from 1 species
CGCUGGCGGCGUGCCUAACACAUGCAAGUCGAACGGUAACAGGUCUUCGGAUGCUGACGAGUGGCGCACGGGUGAGUAACGCGUGGAUAUCUGCCUAUUAGUGGGGGACAACUUUCGGAAACGGAAGCUAAUACCGCAUAAUCUCUACGGAGGAAAGCAGGGGACCUUUCGGGGCCUUGUGCUGAUAGAUGAGUCCGCGUCUGAUUAGCUAGUUGGUAGGGUAAAGGCCUACCAAGGCGAUGAUCAGUAUCUGGUUUGAGAGGAUGAUCAGACACACUGGAACUGAGACACGGUCCAGACUUCUACGGAAGGCAGCAGUGGGGAAUAUUGCACAAUGGGGGAAACCCUGAUGCAGCGACGCCGCGUGUGGGAAGAAGGCUUUAGGGUUGUAAACCACUUUCAAUUGGGAAGAAGAGAUGAGUACUAAUAUUAUUCUGAUUUGACGGUACCUUUAGAAGAAGCACCGGCUAAUUUCGUGCCAGCAGCCGCGGUAAUACGAAAGGUGCAAGCGUUGUUCGGAUUUACUGGGCGUAAAGCGAGUGUAGGUUGUUUAUUAAGUCGGAUGUGAAAUCCCAGGGCUCAACCCUGGAACUGCAUUCGAUACUGAUAGGCUAGAGUUCGGGAGGGGUAAGCGGAAUUCCGUGUGUAGCAGUGAAAUGCGUAGAUAUACGGAGGAACACCUGAGGCGAAGGCGGCUUACUGGACCGAUACUGACACUGAGACUCGAAAGCGUGGGUAGCAAACAGGAUUAGAUACCCUGGUAGUCCACGCCCUAAACGAUGUCAACUAGCCGUUGCGGGUAUCGACCCCUGCAGUGGCGAAGCUAACGCGAUAAGUUGACCGCCUGGGGAGUAC